CAUUUUCUCUAUACUAUUUUUAUUUUGUAUAUUGUGAUUUACGUUUACAAAACUGUCAAAUGGAGUAUAUAAUUAUAUCUUAUUUUUAUCAUGCGUAGGGACGACACGGGGUGCCAGGUGGGUACCGGCUUACCCAGAAAAUAUGAAAACAAUAUAUGGGUGCCUUGUUGAAUAAAUACUAAGGUUUUCUCCUUUCUCGUGAUGUCAUGGCAAGGCGGCACCGCGGCGGCAUGAGCAUGGCGCAUUGUCCUCGAGAUGGCAAGGCCACAGUGGUAGCCAUAUAGUCGGCGGAGGAGCUGGCACUUAGGUGCGCCGGACGGAGGUGCAGCACACCGCCAUGGUUGAUCCAGUUCAAGCAACCGCAAGGCAACCAUGGGCAACGAGCACUCCAAGUAUCCAUCUCCAGGCAUUCAAUGCCCAGCAUUCCAGUCUCUAUGUACAACAGUUCAGAUUCAGUAUUUCACUUUGAGUAUUCGAUUGAAAAGUUGAAAAAUGGAGUGAGUUCAAUUAAAUGACGGUGCAA